ACAGGGAUUGCCUCAGUAACGGCGAGUGAAGCGGCAACAGCUCAAAUUUGAAAUCUGGCCCCAGGCCCGAGUUGUAAUUUGUAGAGGAUGCUUCUGGCAACGUGUCUUCCGAGUUCCCUGGAACGGGACGCCAUAGAGGGUGAGAGCCCCGUCCGGUCGUACACCUAGCCUCUGUGAAGCUCCUUCGACGAGUCGAGUAGUUUGGGAAUGCUGCUCUAAAUGGGAGGUAUACGUCUUCUAAAGCUAAAUACCGGCCAGAGACCGAUAGCGCACAAGUAGAGUGAUCGAAAGAUGAAAAGCACUUUGAAAAGAGGGUUAAAUAGUACGUGAAAUUGCUGAAAGGGAAGCGCUUAUGACCAGACUUGGGCUCGGUAGAUCACCCGGCGUUCUCGCCGGUGCACUCUGCCGGUCCAGGCCAGCAUCAGUUCGCCUCGGGGGAUAAAGGCUCUGGGAACGUAGCUCCUCCGGGAGUGUUAUAGCCCUAAGCACAAUACCCUGCGGCGGACUGAGGUACGCGUUCUGCAUGGAUGCUGGCGUAAUGGUCAUCAGUGACCCGUCUUGAAACACGGACCAAGGAGUCGUCUUCGUAUGCGAGUGUUCGGGUGUCAAACCCCUGCGCGAAAUGAAAGUGAACGUAGGAGAGAGCUUCGGCGCAUCUCCGACCGAUCCUGAUGUUCUCGGAUGGAUUUGAGUAAGAGCAUACGGGGCCGGACCCGAAAGAAGGUGAACUAUGCCUGUAUAGGGUGAAGCCAGAGGAAACUCUGGUGGAGGCUCGCAGCGGUUCUGACGUGCAAAUCGAUCGUCAAAUAUGGGCAUGGGGGCGAAAGACUAAUCGAACCU
rnacentral:rRNA from 1 species